rnacentral:lncRNA from 1 species
AGAGAAUGUAAAGUGAUUUUUUAAAUCCAUAAUUUAAAAAGUACUAGGGUUGCAAGAAGGAUAAUUCCAAUGUUAUUUAAAGUAUCCCAAAUUUUUUUAAAAAAGAAAAACCAAUUCAUUUCACAUAGGUAGUGCAGCAUUAAUAUGAAAACCUUAUAAACAUAAGACAAUGUAUACUGUUGGCAGGAAUGUAAAUUAGUACAGCCAUUAUGAAAAAUAAUAUAGAGGUUUCUCAGAAAGUUAAAAAUAAAACUACCAUAUGAUCCAGCAAUCCUAGUACUAUUUAUAUACCCAAAUAAAAUGAUUCAAUAUGUCAAAGAAAAAUCUGUACCUCAUGUUCAUUGCAACAUUAUUCACAAUAGACAAGAUACGAAAUCAACCUAAGUAUCCUUUAACAGAUGAAUGAUUAAAGAAAAUGUGGUGUAUAUAUACCUAAUGAAAUAUUGUUCAGCCUUAAAGAAGGAAAUCCUGUCCUUUGUAAUAACAUGAAUGAAACUGGAGGACAUUAUAUUAAGUGAAAUAAGCCAGGCACAGAGAGAUAAAUGCCAUGUAAUCUCACUUAUAUGUGGAAUCUAAAAAAGUCAAACACAUAGAAGCAGAAAAUAGAAUAAUGGUUAUUAGGGGCAGGGGGAGGAGGGUAGAACUGGGGAGAUGUUGGUCAAAGGAUACAAAAAUUAAGAUAAGCAGGAAGAACAAGUUCAAGAGACCUAUUGUACAACAUGGUGACUACAGUUAAUAACAAUGUAUUGCAUACUUGAAAAUUGCUAGGACAGUAGAUUUUAAGUGUUCUCACCACAAAAGAAAUGAUAAAUAUGUGAGGUAACACAUGUAUUAAUUAGCUUGAGUUAGCCAUUUCACAGUGUAUCCAUAUUUCAAAACAUCAGGUUGUACACUACAAAUAUAUACAAUUUUUGUUUGUAUAUUUAAAAUUUUUUAAUAUUUAAAAAUUCAACUCAAAAAUAAAUUCUUGGCCAGGCACAGUGGCUCACACCUGUAAUCUCAGCACUUUGGGAGGCCAAGGCAGUGGAUCAUGAGGUCAGGAGAUCGAGACCAUUCUGGCUAACAUGGUGAAACCCCGUCUCUACUAAAAAAAUACAAAAAAAAAUUAGCCGGGCGUGGUGGCGGGCGCCUGUAGUCCCACCUACUCAGGAGGCUGAGGCAGGAGAAUGGCGUGAACCCAGGAGGCAGAGCUUAUAGUGAGCCGAGAUCACGCCACUGUACUCCAGCCUGGUGACAGAGCAAGACUCUGUCUCAAAAAAUAAAAAAAAUUUAAAAAAAAAUUUCAGUUGGCAGAACUUUGCACUACGCACCUUGUCAUUCACUUUGCAUGGAAAGAGAAGAGACUCAAAGUAAGAAUGUACUGACUCAUGGUCAAAUGGCUUGGCUACAGGUCAGGGGGAUGGGAGGAGAAAAUUUGGAAGACUGGAGAAAAAGACAUCUGAGAAAAGGGCAUAUGGGUGGACUUAUGGGGAUGUACAAAAAGUAUGAAGAUCUUUGUUUCACAUGUUAACACCUACAAGAGGUAUCUAUCAACAACCAAGGAGAAAAGCGACUCAGCCAGAUGAUGUUAGCCAACCUCUUCCAUUGGCCAGCUCAGUACUGGUACUGGCACAAUUGGUGAAUAAAUAUAGUGACAAGGAUGGAGCCUAUGCAGAGGCCCAAACAGCAGAAGUCUCCACUGACUAAGUCUUAUCUAGCUACUGCUGCUUCUGAAUGUCAAAGUUGUCAUCAAGACAGAGCAACACUGAGGCCUCAAGAUAGCAUCAUCCCUCAAGGACACCAAGUAGCCACCUGGUGGCAAGCUGAAUGCACUGGAUUCUUUCCAUCACAGGAAGGGUAAUGAUUCAUCUUGGCUGGAACUGAUACUUAUUCUGAGUAUGGAUUUAUCUUUCCUACUUACAUGGCCUCAACCAGCACCACUAUCCAAGGGUUGACAGAAUGUUUAAUCCUCCAAUAUGGAAUCCUAUACAUCCUUGCAUUGUACUUUAUAGCACCGUAUAAAGGGAAUGUACUUUGUAGCACUGUAGUUGCAGUGGUGGACACAUGAAAAUGCAAUUCAGUGAUCCUAUUACAAAUCAUGAAAUCACAACAACUAAAAGCUGUCAAACUGAUGGAGUGAUGGAACAUCCUCCAGUAGCCCUUUGAAGCUGCAGGGAUGGGAUACAAGCAUAUAUCCUAGAUCAGUAACCAUUGUAUGGUCCCAUGUCGCUAAUAGAAGGAGGACCAUGGAUUGAAGAAAGAGUAGCACUAUUUACCGUCACCCCGAGGGAUUCACUUGGGAAAUUUCUGCUUCUUAUCUCUGCAAUUCAAUGCUGUUACACAACGGAAGUAGCCAGGAAUGUGUUUGGCAGCCAAGGGAUGUUUAAGUAGUACCUUACU